rnacentral:tRNA from 1 species
AUAAGAGUGCCAGAAGUUUAUGGGGUUAGUUUAGGUCUAGUUUAUAGUGGUUUGCUCUCUUAUU